ACAAGAGUUAUUUCAGUUGUGUAUCUUCAAUAGAGAAAAGUAUUACUAUUGAAACACUGGCUGAUGCAUUGUUGGACAAAUAUAAGGAAAACUAUUCUGAUGAGCAAAGUUUGGAUAACUUUAAGUAAGUGAAAUUCAUUGAAGAACCCAUCAUACCACUCAUUUUAAAUAUUUCAUUUGUGGGUUUAUUU